AUAGGACUUUGGUUCUAUUUUGUUGGUUUCUAGGGACCGAAGUAAUGAUUAAUAGGGAUAGUUGGGGGCAUUAGUAUUUAAUUGUCAGAGGUGAAAUUCUUGGAUUUAUGAAAGACUAACUUCUGCGAAAGCAUUUGCCAAGGAUGUUUUCAUUAAUCAAGAACGAAAGUUAGGGGAUCGAAGACGAUCAGAUACCGUCGUAGUCUUAACCAUAAACUAUGCCGACUAGGGAUCAGACAAGGAUAUUUUGACUUGUUUGGCGCCUUAUGAGAAAUCAAAGUUUUUGGGUUCCGGGGGGAGUAUGGCGCAAGGCUGAAACUUAAAGGAAUUGCGGAAGGGCCCCCCAGGAGUGGAGCCUGCGGCUUAAUUUGACUCACACGG
rnacentral:rRNA from 1 species